rnacentral:rRNA from 1 species
GAUGAACGCUGGCGGCGUGCUUAACACAUGCAAGUCGAACGAUGAUCCGGUGCUUGCACCGGGGAUUAGUGGCGAACGGGUGAGUAACACGUGAGUAACCUGCCCUUAACUCUGGGAUAAGCCUGGGAAACUGGGUCUAAUACCGGAUAUGACUCCUCAUCGCAUGGUGGGGGGUGGAAAGCUUUUUGUGGUUUUGGAUGGACUCGCGGCCUAUCAGCUUGUUGGUGAGGUAAUGGCUCACCAAGGCGACGACGGGUAGCCGGCCUGAGAGGGUGACCGGCCACACUGGGACUGAGACACGGCCCAGACUCCUACGGGAGGCAGCAGUGGGGAAUAUUGCACAAUGGGCGCAAGCCUGAUGCAGCGACGCCGCGUGAGGGAUGACGGCCUUCGGGUUGUAAACCUCUUUCAGUAGGGAAGAAGCGGAAGUGACGGUACCUGCAGAAGAAGCGCCGGCUAACUACGUGCCAGCAGCCGCGGUAAUACGUAGGGCGCAAGCGUUAUCCGGAAUUAUUGGGCGUAAAGAGCUCGUAGGCGGUUUGUCGCGUCUGCCGUGAAAGUCCGGGGCUCAACUCCGGAUCUGCGGUGGGUACGGGCAGACUAGAGUGAUGUAGGGGAGACUGGAAUUCCUGGUGUAGCGGUGAAAUGCGCAGAUAUCAGGAGGAACACCGAUGGCGAAGGCAGGUCUCUGGGCAUUAACUGACGCUGAGGAGCGAAAGCAUGGGAGCGAACAGGAUUAGAUACCCUGGUAGUCCAUGCCGUAAACGUGGGCACUAGUGUGGGGACAUUCCACGUUUCCGCGCCGUAGCUACGCAUUAAGUNNCCCGCCUGGGGAGUACGNNNAGCUAA